rnacentral:rRNA from 1 species
GACGAACGCUGGCGGCGUGCCUAAUACAUGCAAGUCGAACGCAGUGGGGACGGGUGAGUAACACGUGGGUAACCUCCCAUCAGAGGGGAUAACACUUGGAAACAGGUGCUAAACCGAUACUGAUGGAUGGACCCGCGGUGCAUUAGCUAGUUGGUGAGGUAACGGCUCCCAAAGGCCACGAUGCAUAGCCGGCUGGAGAGGUUGAUCGGCCCCACGGGGGUGGAGACAGGGCCCAGAUCCCUACGGGAGGCAGCAGUAGGAAAUCUUCGGAAAUGGAGGAAAGCCUGACCGAGCAACGCGGCGUGAUGGAAGAGGGUUUUCGGAUCGUAAAACUCUGUUGUUAGAGAAGCGGUACCUAACCAGAAAGCCACGGCUAACUACGUGCCAGCAGCCGCGGUAAUAC